rnacentral:lncRNA from 2 species
AUUAUUCAGCCCUAUGCUCCCGCCGUUGAACCCGAACUACUAGAAUUCGGUGUUCCUAAUACCAUCCUGGCACUGACGGCGUAUGUACAAGACGAAACUGCUGAACAUAACACGCAAGGGGAUUCUUCUCACAACGAUGAUGACAACUUGUCACUCUCACUGCCCCCAGAUGAAUUAUUGACUGACUCCCAGCUAGCGGCGAAAAUUGAUCAGAUCUGCAUUUUGGAGGGUGCCUCUCAUGAUAGUACUGAGGUCAACAAAGAGGCUGACUACACGGCUAGACAACAUGCUAGCCCCGUGAAAUAUUGUGUCAAGAGUGCUAGCCCCAUGAAACAUUGUGUCAAGAGGGCAGCAAGGUACGUGCCACCAUCUAGCCAAUCCGUACCCAAAGAUGACAACGUCGCCGUACAACUCCUUGACUUGAUACUGUCAGACCCAACUCAAUUUGGGAGGUUUGUUCCAUUUUUACCCAUUGCAUGUAUAUUGCAAAUCCAUAACUGCUUUAUUUCAAUCCUACCGCAUUUACUAACCCAAUCGAACAUCUUACCUCACAGCCCUCCCUUAGUCGAGGUGGAUUGUUACAGUGCUAAUGCCACGGACAUAGCCGCAUCAUUCAAAGUGGGAAGCAUGACAGAAGGGAUUUUCAUAGAUGCUUUUGCAUCAUUGCUUUUUAAGGAUGAAAUGAGAGAUAGUCCAGAAACAUUUGGCAAGAAGAUCUUCAUACCCACCUCUGUAACGGGUCUCCUCAACAUUGAGAAUGUCACUAGAGUUGGCAGUAAGGACAACUUCAGCCCACGUGCACUUGCUGAACACCUGUCUGACUGUCUGAAGGGUGUCGACCUUUCAAAGGCCGAGCAGCUGCCAAUCAUCAACAAUGAGCACUGUACACUCUACAUCGUAUACCUGAACCAAGGUAGUUUUGAUAUACUGGACUCCAAUGACUAUGACCAAAUAGGAGGAAAGCAGAGCCAGCAUCACUACCCUUUGGCCCAGAAGGUCCUCAAGCGUCUCAGCGAUGGGUUCCAAUCCUUUAUGCCUAAAGUUUUUAAAAAGUUUGGCAACUACCAUCGUGAGUUCGUUAAAUGCCCCAAGAUGGUGCCAUGCUCAAAUGACUGCGCGGUACAUGAGUGGUACCAGGGGAACCCUGACAAGCUUGCUGAUGAUUUUCAACCGCCUGACUCACGUGUUCUUCGGGCACAGAUCCUGCACCAACUGAUUUUCCAUCGCUUCAACCUAGCACCAUGCAUCCACCCUGCCAUAGAGGGCCUUCGUCCUCUUGAUGACAGUGAAGGAAGCUCCCACUAG